AAAAUGAGAUUGAGCCAAGGAUGACUUGCCGAUUUUCUCAACGAAUCUUACUGAUUAUGGUAUCCGGCAAGUUGACUUUGGCUCUGUUUCCUUCCCU
rnacentral:pre_miRNA from 14 species